AUGUCGCAGAGUGAUGUCUGCCUGUCAGUGAAAAGACAGAUCAGCUUAAAGAUUUCCUCUUUAGCAUCAGUCAUGUUAGCUGUGAUACUGCUGCUGGCUGCUGGAUCAUGUGUGUACAGUAUUGAUCUCAUUCAGCCAGACUCAAGGUCUGUGCAGCCUGGACAGUCUUUUUCCAUCACCUGCCAGGUUUCUGGUUAUUCUAUGACUGAUAACAGCUAUGCAACAGGUUGGAUCAGACAGCGUGAAGGAAAAGCAAUGGACUGGAUUUCUCAUCAGUGGGGUGGAGGCACCCUUCGGCAAAAUGGUGAUUUAAAGAACAAGUUCAGCUACAGCAGAGACACUUCUGCCAGAACAGCAACAAUAACAGGACAGAAUCUGCAGACCGAGGACACAGCUGUUUAUUACUGUGUGCGUGUUAGUGACACAGUGAUCCAGAACACCAAGAGACCUGCACAAAUACUCAGAAACCUGCAAGACAUGCAUGGUGUAAACUUGAAUAUCAACAACGACAUGAAAAAAUGA